rnacentral:lncRNA from 1 species
UCCUGGCUUUGCUGGUUCCCAGUUGUGACCUUGGACAAGUUACUUUACUUUUCUGAUUCAAUGUCUUUGUAAAAUAAAGAUAAAGCCAGCAGGGCUGAUUUACAACUCAGCGACUGCAGAGGCGGACCCCACGUUCAGCACACUCUGCGGCGGCGUGUUCAGAAAAGUUCAGAGACUGCCUAAGAAGGUGCUCCGGGGAUAGAAGUAGAAAGGAGCAGAGAAGUCAUCUUGUUGUCGUGUUAUUUAUUCUACCGAGGGGGAAAAAUGCCACCCUGAGAAGCAAAGUGACUCCUGGGAGAGGCUGCUGGUCACUCCUGGUUCAGGACAAUGAGCUGCUUGCAAAAUCAUUCCCUUCGUUUUGCCCCACAAUGAAGCCUCACAAGCUCUCUAGAUCUGACUGGCUAUUCAAGGGAAGGACAGAUGGAACAGCGGAGGAGGCUGUCUUAACUUCUGAGGUCUGCUCUUCAGUGCCAUUUCUAACCUCUCAGACACUGACCUAAGCUAAGGACAAUAUUUGUGCUUUUCUAAGAAGGUGGUAAAAUAUUUGCACUUGGAAAUACAGAGCGAUAACACUUUAAUGUGGACUAACCUUAUCGGGAUUAGGUAAAUACAGCCAAAGCAAAACAAAAAGUAUUUUAGAAACUGGGACCAACGCAAACAAAUGUAUAGAAAACACUUUUGAAGGGCACCUAGUUCUAAUUAACAUUUGUAUUUAUGAAUGACCUUAGUUAUCGCCCCUAAAUAAAGUAUUUGUUGUACACUGCAGAGAGAGUCAGUGGCCCCACCCUUCCACAGGUCACAAAGUUUUGCAUUUCUGUCAAAGUAGCUGGACUGCGGAGCAGCUUUUAAUCAGAUAUAUGGACCACCACUGGAAAAUCAGACCCAGGUUCCUUUUCUAACCCUUAAUGCUGAGCUGGGUGACAUUCACACUCUGCCCCCAAUCCUGAUGUCAAAGACUAAGAUUUUUUUUUUUUUUUUUGGUUUGGUACCGGGCAUUGAACUCGGGACCUGUCACUUGCGAGGCAGGUGGCAGAACCACUGAGCUAAAUCCCCGGCCCUAAGAUAUUUUUAAAAAUGUGUUAAAAACACAUAACACGAAAUGUACGAUCAUAACCAUCUUGCAGAUUGCUAGAACUUCACCAUCGCUGCAUAACGGAAAGCCUACCCCUUAAGGGACAAGUGCCCAUCUGCUGGUCCCCCUUCCUGGACAGUCAUAGUCUCCUUUUUCUUUCAAUGAGUUUGGUUCCUUUAGAUACUGAAUGUGUGUGAAGUCAUGCAGUCUUUGUGUUUUUGUGGCUGGCUUAUUUCAUUUAGCCAAAGCCCCUAUGACAUGUGAUGUGCAAGUGAAUGGCUGAGGGCUGGGUCCUGGCUGACGUUCCCAGAAAUGGGUGCCAUACUAGAAAAAUCUACUUGUAAAAGGGGAAAAAUAGCACAUUGGAUUACAUGUGAUCAGGCAUCAUGGUACUGGCACUAAUGACAUUUUAGACCAUGUGGCUUGGGCUGCCCUGGGCAUCGUAGGACACUUAGUGCCAUCCCUGGCCUCCACUCUAGAUGCCAUGGCACCCUCCCCUACCCAUGUGACCACCAGAAAUGACUCCAGAUGAUGCCAACUUUCCCCUGGGGGAACUCUGGACAAAUAAGCUGACUUCUAAAAGCACUGAAAUGAAGCUAACAAAAUGUAUUGUAUGAGAUUUGGAUAAUGACUAAAGGCACUUAAUGAAAAAGUGUUUUACUAUUUAAUAAUAAUGAUAACAUUUGAAAAACAGGAAAUUAAUUCUAACUCAUUCAAGGAACAGUGAACUUUCUGGGGCCAGAUGCUUAUAAAGCCUAACUGUAUUUUGCGUAUUCAAACAGUGC